GGGCUAAUGGUCCAAUGGGAAGACGCUGGCAUGGCUCGUCAGAGAUCGGGGUUCGAUUCCCCGUUAGUCCACAA
rnacentral:tRNA from 1 species